rnacentral:rRNA from 1 species
UACAGAGGUCUCAAGCGUUAUUCGGAUUCAUUGGGCGUAAAGGGUGCGUAGGCGGCGCGGUAAGUCGGGUGUGAAAUCUCGGGGCUUAACUCCGAAACUGCAUUCGAUACUGCCGUGCUUGAGGACUGGAGAGGAGACUGGAAUUUACGGUGUAGCGGUGAAAUGCGUAGAUAUCGUAAGGAAGACCAGUGGCGAAGGCGGGUCUCUGGACAGUUCCUGACGCUGAGGCACGAAGGUCAGGGAGCAAACGGG